CACGUAGGCACCAAGCGUUGUCCGGAUUUAUUGGGCGUAAAGAGCUCGUAGGCGGUUCGGUAAGUCGGGUGUGAAAACUCUGGGCUCAACCCAGAGCCGCCACUCGAUACUGCUGUGACUCGAGUGCGGUAGGGGAGCGGGGAAUUCCUGGUGUAGCGGUGAAAUGCGCAGAUAUCAGGAGGAACACCAGUGGCGAAGGCGCCGCUCUGGGCCGUGACUGACGCUGAGGAGCGAAAGCGUGGGGAGCGAACAGG
rnacentral:rRNA from 1 species